rnacentral:tRNA from 1 species
GCCUAGUGGUUAAGGCUAUGGAUUGCCAAUCCGGAGACGGCGGGUUCGAUUCCUGU